GGUGGUCAUUGAUGUCGACGAGGGGCCCGUGUCGGGUUUACUCCGUGUCAGUAUAUCCAGCCAUAUUGUAUUUUUCUCGCAUUACCCAACUGAUAUUAUUUGAAAUUAUAUAAUUUUUAUGUGUACGCUGUAUACACUUAUUCGGUUUAUUGCGGUAGUUAUUAUGACUAUGAUAUUAUAAUUAUUAUUAAAUAGAGUAGUUAAUCGAUUACUCGACUUGACUCGACAACUUAUUUCUUUCAAUAGUGCUACAUUCGACUACUUGACUUA